UCAAAAAAUAAUCCCUUCACUAAUUCCCUUCCCAUCUUUUCGCUUCGACUGAAUCGGCGAUCGCUUCUGCAGCCAGCCAAAGCAGCAGAGCUGCCGCGGUGCCGGACGCCGCCCCGCUGGCCGCCGGCCAUGCUGCCGAGGUGCCGCCGAAGAGAAGGCCAACCGUUGUUGAAGUUCAGAAGUUGUCACAUAUUCGAGAUAUUCAAUAGUCGCUCGUCCAAGUCCAAAAUCAAGAAGAGGCUGAGGUUCCCGCUACAGAAAUUCAUGAAGGUGAUGAUGGUCAUAGUGAUAAUGCAGAAGAGGUCGAGGCUCCCACGACGGAAAUUGGUGAAGGUAACGAUGCCAAUAUUGCUGAUGAAGAUCAUGGUCCUAAUAUUUCCGAUGACAUGAAUAAUUCUGUUCAGCCUGAUAUUUUUUAUCCUAGAAAUUGGGAUGGCCUUGAUCCUAAAAAGAUUGAUAUUGUGUUGUAAAAGGGUCUUAAAAGAGAAGAUAUUGAGCAUGGUCCGUAU